rnacentral:misc_RNA from 1 species
GAAAUGCGAUAAGUAAUGUGAAUUGCAGAAUUCAGUGAAUCAUCGAGUCUUUGAACGCACAUUGCGCCCCCUGGUAUUCCGGGGGGCAUGCCUGUCCGAGCGUCAUUACUGCCCUCAAGCCCGGCUUGUAUUGGGUCCUCGUCCCCCCGGGGACGGGCCCGAAAGGCAGCGGCGGCACCGCGUCCGGUCCUCGAGCGUAUGGGGCUUUGUCACCCGCUCUGUAGGCCCGGCCGGCGCCAGCCCACGCAUCACCUUUUUUUCAGGUUGACCUCGGAUCAGGUAGGGAUACCCGCUGAACUUAA